CCUACGGGUGGCAGCAGUGAGGAAUAUUGGUCAAUGGACGAGAGUCUGAACCAGCCAAGUAGCGUGAAGGAUGACUGCCCUAUGGGUUGUAAACUUCUUUUAUAUGGGAAUAAAACGUUCCACGUGUGGGAUUUUGUAUGUACCAUAUGAAUAAUGAUCGGCUAACUCCGUGCCAGCAGCCGCGGUAAUACGGAGGAUCCGAGCGUUAUCCGGAUUUAUUGGGUUUAAAGGAAGCGUAGGUGGAUUGUUAAGUCAGUUGUGAAAGUUUGCGGCUCAACCGUAAAAUUGCAGUUGAAACUGGCAGUCUUGAGUACAGUAGAGGUGGGCGGAAUUCGUGGUGUAGCGGUGAAAUGCUUAGAUAUCACGAAGAACUCCGAUUGCGAAGGCAGUUCACUGGACUGCAACUGACACUGAGGCUCGAAAGUGUGGGUAUCAAACAGGAUUAGAUACCCUUGUAGUC
rnacentral:rRNA from 1 species